GUAACUGUCAAUGGCAGAGCGUCCGUGCCCCGGAAGGUUGCGGGUUCAAUCCCCGCCGGUUACCCCA
rnacentral:tRNA from 1 species